AGCAAGUUUGCUUUCUGCGCGUAUUGUCUUUGAUAUUAUAAACGUAUAUCAAGUUACGUUAUCAUUAAACAAUUUUAAGGCAAUGUGGUUACUUACAAGUUGUUUCCAUUUCUUUAACAGCUUACAGAAGCUGCAAAAAUGCAUAUUCUUCAGGGACCAAGGAAAGUGGAACGAUCCAGCUACUUUUGCCUACUCUUCCGUUGAUUAGCACCUUCUGUGAUAUGACAACCAAAGGAGGUGGCUGGACUAUUAUUCAAAGAAGAGUUAAUAACGACUUUGACUUUCACAGGAACUGGAAUGACUAUAAGACAGGGUUUGGCAACGCACUUGGGAAUUUCUGGUUGGGUCUCGAAGCUAUACACCAGUUUACAAAGGAUGGAGUAGUAACUCUACGGGUGGAACUGAAACGAGAUGAUGGCAAGAGUGGAUAUGCUGAAUACCGGGGCUUUAAGAUUGGCGACGAGUCUUCAAAAUACAGGCUGACUUUGGGCAAUUUUAGCGAUAACGGUGUAGGUAACGCGAUGGCUGACAAUGACGGAAUGAAGUUCUCUACUAAAGACCAGGACAAUGAUGUAGUCUCGUUUAGCUGUGCACAGGAUUGGGAAGGAGGUUGGUGGUACCAUAGCUGUUUCAGAGCAAAUCUCAAUAAUGGCUUUUAUAGUAGCGUUAAAGGCCACCCUGAUUUUGAAAUGCCUAAGCGAAUGAGUUGGAAAACAUGGAGUGGCAAUUUCGGUGAUAUAACUUUUUCUGAAAUGAAGCUGAAGACGGUUGACUAAAAGUUCAUUUCAAAGUUGCGCUGAUGAAUCAGCUGCUAUGCAGUACCAACUGUGGAAAACGUUUUCUCCAAAAAGUAUGCAACAAGAACUAAAAAAUUUGAAAUUUACAAAUGCCAAAUUGCUUAGACAGAGAACCCUGCACACGGAAGAAACUCACUUAAGCAAAGUAAGUGCAACGAUAACACUUUACUUUAACAACCUUCUCUCUUGUGCGCCUAGCAUAGAGCCAUGGCAAUAACGGUUUGUCUUCUUAGCAUGUCCUUGAAAACUUCAAUCCAUUUAUAUUCCAUGCACGAUCUAUAAAGUUUUGAAUGAAAAGCGUGGACACUUUUUUUUAGUAUUGGCUUAAAAGUAAACUGGUGUUGAAAAUAUAAUGAUUUCAGUUAAAAAUCAGUGUGUAAAACUUCGAAGUAUAUAGCAACUGAAAAUGUCUUUAUUGAGAAUUUAAUCACUUACUUAGUUAUAUCGUAUUUAUUUGCUGCACGUAGUUAUUACUGAUUUGAUUUCGUUGUAACACUUUUUCUUACCUUCCAUAGCUUAAGAGUAACAAAAUAUCUGCCAACUUUUCACAGUUCCUAGAUAUUCCCAAUUUUGGAUAUUUCCCAAAGUGCUAUGGACUCAUCUCGUAUAACACCUGCAAUUCUCAAAAGAAGUAUCAUAGCAUUACCAGUGACGUCAUCAGUUGCCAAUCUUUUUCAAUACACAUGUCCAUCUUAUUCAGUAUAAAUUAUUCAAAGUUCACAAUGAACUCAAUUAGUGCAGAGCAGCUUAUUAAUGAAUGUGCUUUGAAAGAGUAACCAGGUCUUUUCAACGUUUGUUUAUUGAGGUAAAUACACCCACGUUUCAUUAAACUAAAUUAUAUUCUUCUCUAGAAGUCUACUCUAGAAGCCUUUGCCUGAGAGGAUCAGAGGUUGACAAGGAUGAGAAUUUGUUUCCGCUUUCCUCAUUUAAUAUUCAACUUCUAUUAUGCCUUUUUAAUAACUAGAACUUCAAAUUAAUGGUAGACGUUAAUAUUCAAAUGUUAUAAAUUGAAAAUCUGUACACAAAUGAUGCUUUGUUACAGCAGCUGUACAACAAGGAUGUGUUUUGUCAUAACAGCUUUUUAGAAUUUUUACUGAUUGGUGUUACAAUGUGCUCAUGGUAGGAAAUACAUGGGUAUCACUCUCAAAAUAAUGUUGCUUCAGUUUGGCUGAUGAAUUGUAGCAUAAUUAAAACCUUAUUGCUUAAGUCACUAGUAAGAAGAACUUUAAUCAAAUGCUUCAUAAAAAAUACAUUUAAUAUUAUCAUUGUUUCUAAACAUCUGUGCAAUCGCGCAUGAGAAGAUUCUUUACAUCUGUUCCUGCAAUGUUCCCAGGAAAGAGCGUUCUUCAACCUAACUUUAGUGUAGGUGCCUCUGGUUUUUUAGAAAGAUAUUUAACGAUAACGUGCCUUAAGAAAGUGCAGGAGUCAGUAAUUUUGAUCAUUCGUUUUCAUUGAAGAAACUCUUUUCUAGUCUGAACUAUUUGUUGGUUAAGUUCUAUGGCCCAGGCAACGUUUGGAUUGCACCCGCAUCCGGUCUUCGAUUUCCGAACGAUGAACGUUUUUCGGUUUCUAUUCACACUUCCACGACGUUCGAGCGAAUCCUUGGUGACAAUUUAGCGCGCUUUUCGGUUAGUUAUUCAUGAGAACAAAUAAUGGCUGAUUUCAAUCGACAAAGAUUGUUGCUUUUGAUGCGGUUUAGAGAAGGCAGUUGAGAGCAAAAGGCAUACCUUAGAAACGUUUGGGUACGACCAAACCUAUAAA